GCAUUAAUGGGGUAGUGGUAACCUGGGUCGUUGCCAUUGAGUGUCAUGCUCGACCCGCCGGGGGUUCGAUUCCCUCUUAAUGCA
rfam:Laccaria amethystina LaAM-08-1 unplaced genomic scaffold K443scaffold_76, whole genome shotgun sequence.